CUUUCACCAGCACUUUGGAAAAUAGUUUGUCUUCGAGGUGGCCAGAACACAAACAGACAACAUUAUUUACUAAAAAGUGUGGCUUCUCAGGAAUUCAAAUGUGUAAACACAGCUGACUUGGAGACUUUUUCCGAUUCAGCAGUUUUGAUUUCCAAACAAUUUGCAUUUCAAUAAGGUAAUUUAAAAUUUUAGGCCAAAAUUAUUGGCUCGGAUACAUUGUCAAGUUGGAG